rnacentral:rRNA from 1 species
AACACUAACUGGAGGACCGAACCGACUAAUGUUGAAAAAUUAGCGGAUGACUUGUGGCUGGGGGUGAAAGGCCAAUCAAACCGGGAGAUAGCUGGUUCUCCCCGAAAGCUAUUUAGGUAGCGCCUCGUGAACUCAUCUUCGGGGGUAGAGCACUGUUUCGGCUAGGGGGUCAUCCCGACUUACCAACCCGAUGCAAACUACGAAUACCGAAGAAUGUUAUCACGGGAGACACACGGCGGGUGCUAACGUCCGUCGUGAAGAGGGAAACAACCCAGACCGCCAGCUAAGGUCCCAAAGUCAUGGUUAAGUGGGAAACGAUGUGGGAAGGCACAGACAGCCAGGAUGUUGGCUUAGAAGCAGCCAUCAUUUAAAGAAAGCGUAAUAGCUCACUGGUCGAGUCGGCCUGCGCGGAAGAUGUAACGGGGCUAAACCAUGCACCGAAGCUGCGGCAGCGACACUAUGUGUUGUUGGGUAGGGGAGCGUUCUGUAAGCCGUUGAAGGUGGCCUGUGAGGGUUGCUGGAGGUAUCAGAAGUGCGAAUGCUGACAUAAGUAACGAUAAAGCGGGUGAAAAGCCCGCUCGCCGGAAGACCAAGGGUUCCUGUCCAACGUUAAUCGGGGCAGGGUGAGUCGACCCCUAAGGCGAGGCCGAAAGGCGUAGUCGAUGGGAAACAGGUUAAUAUUCCUGUACUCGGUGUUACUGCGAAGGG